CCAGAGCCCGUCUAACGGAGAGCCUUGGCACUUCCUAUUAGCCCCAUUGUGUAUCAUAUUGGUUGCAGUUCCAUUAGAAUUCCACUGGAGGUGAUCGCGGGCGAGUGCAGAAUGAAUGGGAGUCUAUGGAGCUAAACGACUCUUUCUCCUGCUUGUCGUUGAAUCAACAUAGAUUUUAUUGUUGAUUCCGCAAGUUCAAUAUAGGUUAUAGGCCAAAAGUCGAAUGAACGAGUACUUAUGUCCUUUCGAUUUCUUACAGGUUAGGCCGUUGUUGGCCGGAACACGCUAGCAUUCUGCUAUUAUGUGACGUCAUCACAUUUUUGAACGGAUUUUUAGAA